rnacentral:rRNA from 1 species
UACGUAGGGGGGCAAGCGUUGUCCGGAAUCAUUGGGCGUAAAGAGCGUGUAGGCGGUUCGGUAAGUCGGCUGUGAAAGUCCAGGGCUCAACCCGGGAACUGCGUCCGAUACUGGAAGGCUUGAAUCCGGGAGAGGGAUGCGGAAUUCCAGGUGUAGCGGUGAAAUGCGUAGAUAUCAGGAGGAACACCGAUGGCGAAGGCAGCUCGCUGGGACGGUACUGACGCUGAGGCGCGAAAGCGUGGGGAGCAAACAGG